rnacentral:rRNA from 1 species
AUUGAACGCUGGCGGCAGGCUUAACACAUGCAAGUCGAGCGGGGUGAUGGUGCUUGCACUAUCACUUAGCGGCGGACGGGUGAGUAAUGCUUAGGAAUCUACCUAUUAGUGGGGGACAACAUCUCGAAAGGGAUGCUAAUACCGCAUACGUCCUACGGGAGAAAGCAGGGGAUCACUUGUGACCUUGCGCUAAUAGAUGAGCCUAAGUCGGAUUAGCUAGUUGGUGGGGUAAAGGCCUACCAAGGCGACGAUCUGUAGCGGGUCUGAGAGGAUGCACCGCCACACUGGGACUGAGACACGGCCCAGACUCCUACGGGAGGUAGCAGUGGGGAAUAUUGGACAAUGGGGGGAACCCUGAUCCAGCCAUGCCGCGUGUGUGAAGAAGGCCUUAUGGUUGUAAAGCACUUUAAGCGAGGAGGAGGCUCUUUUGGUUAAUACCCAAGAUGAGUGGACGUUACUCGCAGAAUAAGCACCGGCUAACUCUGUGCCAGCCGCCGCGGUAA